CUGCGCCUCUUUCUCCUCUCAUCCCACGAGACCUUCAUGGUCCAUAAACCGCAUCUACCUUCUGCUCUACGCCUAUCCACAUUGCAUCCCUCACCUCGCCAGUCUCCUGGACCAUGGCUUGUCCGCGAUGCUACCUGCAUGUCGUCGAUAACCUCGACCCCGGUGCGGCCGCACUGCCGCCUGCACGUUGCCGGUCGGCUCGACCCCAGCGCGGCCGCGCUGCCGCCUGCACGUCGCUGGUAGCCCUGACCCCGGUGCACGCGUGCUGUCACCUGCACUUCAUCGGUUGCCUCGACCAUGGUGCGGCCGCGCUGCCGCCUGCACGUUUCCCGUAGCUUCGACCCUGAUGCGCCCACGCUACCGCUUGCUCAUCUCCAUCCACUACAGUGCUGCAGGUAGAAUUUGGUACUUAUGUUUUCAGAAAUUUUGAUGAAGUUCAACCAUAUAUUAGUGAGUACUCCAGUGGUCAAGAUGGAUGUUCAUCACAACCAUUUACCACCAUGUGGAACCAGAAGUUCAGUCAGUGGUUCAAAAGAGAAGGAGUAGAUUCAGAUGUCGUGUUCAAAUUCGAGAUAGACUCCUCUGCACACAGACUAAUGGGGUGGCUGUCCUUUCAGAAGAAGGGGAUAAUAAUUGGUAAUACAAUAGAAUAUUAUGCCAUAUUGACAGAGAUAGUCGAGCUGCAAUAUUUAGAUGGAAGGCGUGUGACAUUAUUCCGUUGCAACUAGAUUGAUGUAUUUAACAAAGAGCAUGGAAUGAAGUAAGACAACAAGAAUGGAAUCGUUAGGCUUAACCUGCAGUGUUUGCUUUAGACAGAUGAGCCUUUCAUUCUGGAUAGCAAAGUUUAAAAAAAUAUUAUUAAGGACAAACUUAUAAAAGGAUGGCACACAAUUGUGAAAAAAAUCCAUCACGUCAUGCUUAUAAUGUAUCACAUGGACAGUCCGAUGAUAUACCCUCUGAACCUGAACCUGACAAUAGCGACGAAGAUGACUUCUUUCAAAAAUUAACAACAACGUCAUGUAGAAAGAGAACAACAUGAGGCCACUAGUUUAUUCAAGUCUUAAUCUGUAGUAUUUGAUUUGCUUCUUAUAUUAGCUUUUACCUUAUUAAUAAACAGUGACACAAGUAGUUCUGUACUUACUUUAUUUGAUUUAGCAUUCACUCAUUUAACUUAAAUUGUACUUUGUAUAGCCUUUGUGCACACUUCAACCAAACGCUAUAUAUAUAGACACACACACACACAUGUUAUCACAGUGAGUCAUCAUAGGUAUGGAAACUUGACAACAUUAGCUUGGGAAAGAUGCUUUCACAGAUGAAUAAGUCUGGACUGGUACACAAAGGCAUUGCUAGGCGGACCUUCAUGGAGAAAUCAAGUCAAUUAGCAGAUUUCAGCAGAAAAGGGUUACCCACAGGCUCAAAUGCAAGAUGCGGAACUGUGAAAAAAUACAAGUUACCUACAAAAGGUACUAUGUAAACAUAAAAAUAUUAUUCAGCUAUCUUAUAAUCAAUGAUAUAAUGUGGUUAAUUGUUUUCAUAGAUGGAAACGAUGCGCUAACAAAUACACCAAUCAUGUUUAGUACAAAUUGGGAUGCAGGUGAUUCCAAAAGUGAGUUUGUAAGUAUCACGUACUGAACCAAGAAUUGUUUCUAUGCUUUAUUGUCUUCAAGUAAAUCAUAAUAUAUUGCAGCUAUGAAUGAUCAAGUUGAUGCCAGCAAUGAAAGUGACAUGGGAAAUUCAAUGGAUGAAUUUUAUGGUAUGUAAAAUGUAUUUAUUUCAUCUUUAAUUCAUGUACUGUGCUGGCUGAUUGGUUGUAUAUUUUCAAACACUGCAAAUGGUGUAGAUGAAUUAAUAGGUAAUAAAAAUCUAGAAAGUGAAGAAGUGUGGGGCAACCAUGGCCUUGCAAGGAGUUUUUGGUCAGUUCUCAUGUUGCCUCUUUAUUUGAUCUAGUAGUAAACCUUCUAGAUAGAUAAUUUGGGAAUUGGUACACAAUUUAACUUCUGCUGUUUUUAUUCCAAUAAUAUAAGAUCAGUAUGGAUAGUCUAUUUUCUAAGACACACAAGAAGGGUACAACCUUUGUUGAUUGUACAACCUCCGCCAAACACGUAAGACUUAAUUUAACUGUAAUAACUUCAAUAAUGAACAACAAGUGUAUAAUUCCUACUUAGAGAUAGAAGUAACUUACUGUUGGUGCUCCAACAACAAGUGUACAAUUCCUACUUAGAGAUAGAAGUAACUUAUUGUUGGUGCUCCAGACACAAACUAAGACCAUAGUUUAACUCGAAGAAAAGUUCAAUGGCAUGGUGUAAGAAGUUUCUGAAAUUAAGUGACUUGUGUCUGGUAGUUCUCUAAGUGAUAGUUCUCAUGAAAGCCAACAUGAUCAAGUAAGUUGUUAUUAUACAUUGAUUUUAUAUGUUAUUACACUUUGUGCCAAUUUAUUCACAACGGCUGACUUCCAUAAACUACUCAACAUUUUGUAGGAUUCAUGGUCCAUCGUGAUAUAUAGAAGUAUCAAGUAUCAGGAAGGAGUGUAAGAGCUGAUGAAGAAUGGUAUCCAUUCAAACAAUGAUGGUGUCCCUCGAUUGAAGAUAAAUAAAUAUUAUGUUUUCUAGUUGUCUCGUUUUCCAAAUAGAUAUGAUCAAGUCCAUUGGUCAUAUAAGGAUUGCUUUUGACUCAAAUUUCUGAAAUGAUAUUUUUCAUAAUUGUAUGUCGGAAUAUUGGUAUUUCUAUCUAUUAAUGAAAGAGGCUAUGACCCUUACAAUUCA